rfam:Dipodomys ordii contig_19700, whole genome shotgun sequence.
GGUGGCUUAGUGGUGGAGUGCUUGCCUCGCAUGCAUGAAGCCUUGGGUUCGAUUCCCCAGUACCA